rnacentral:rRNA from 1 species
GAUGAACGCUGGCGGCGUGCCUAAUACAUGCAAGUCGAGCGAACAGACGAGGAGCUUGCUCCUCUGACGUUAGCGGCGGACGGGUGAGUAACACGUGGAUAACCUACCUAUAAGACUGGGAUAACUUCGGGAAACCGGAGCUAAUACCGGAUAAUAUAUUGAACCGCAUGGUUCAAUAGUGAAAGACGGUUUUGCUGUCACUUAUAGAUGGAUCCGCGCCGCAUUAGCUAGUUGGUAAGGUAACGGCUUACCAAGGCAACGAUGCGUAGCCGACCUGAGAGGGUGGUCGGCCACACGGGAACUGAGACAGGGUCCAGACUCCUACGGGAGGCAGCAGUAGGGAAUCUUCCGCAAUGGGCGAAAGCCUGACGGAGCAACGCCGCGUGAGUGAUGAAGGUCUUCGGAUCGUAAAACUCUGUUAUUAGGGAAGAACAAAUGUGUAAGUAACUAUGCACGUCUUGACGGUACCUAAUCAGAAAGCCACGGCUAACUACGUG